rnacentral:rRNA from 1 species
AGUGAACGCUGGCGGUAGGCCUAACACAUGCAAGUCGAACGGCAGCACAGUAAGAGCUUGCUCUUACGGGUGGCGAGUGGCGGACGGGUGAGGAAUACAUCGGAAUCUACUUUUUCGUGGGGGAUACCGUAGGGAAACUUACGCUAAUACCGCAUACGACCUACGGGUGAAAGCAGGGGACCUUCGGACCUUGCGCGAUUGAAUGAGCCGAUGUCGGAUUAGCUAGUUGGCGGGGUAAAGGCCCACCAAGGCGACGAUCCGUAGCUGGUCUGAGCGGAUGAUCAGCCACACUAGAACUGAGACACGGUCCAGACUCCUACGGGAGGCAGCAGUGGGGAAUAUUGGACAAUGGGCGCAAGCCUGAUCCAGCCAUACCGCGUGGGUGAAGAAGGCCUUCGGGUUGUAAAGCCCUUUUGUUGGGAAAGAAAAGCAGCAGGUUAAUACCCCGCUGUUCUGACGGUACCCAAAGAAUAAGCACCGGCUAACUUCGUG